GAUGAACGCUGACAGAAUGCUUAACACAUGCAAGUCUUUGGUGAAGCUGUGCUUGCACAGCCUAGCCAAGGCGGACGGGUGAGUAACGCGUAAGGAACUUGCCCUGCAGUCAGGGAUAACAGACGGAAACGACUGAUAAGACCUGGUAAAGUCAGGCGGACUCAUGUCCAGCCUGAUGAAAAGAGAUGCUGCAGGAGAGCCUUGCGUCCUAUUAGCUUGUUGGUGGGGUAACGGCCCACCAAGGCAAUGAUAGGUAGCCGGCCUGAGAGGGUGGACGGCCACAAGGGGACUGAGAUACGGCCCUUACUCCUACGGGAGGCGGCAGUGGGGAAUAUUGGACAAUGGGGGCAACCCUGAUCCAGCAAUUCUGUGUGCAAGAUGAAGGUUUUCGGAUUGUAAAGUGCUUUCAGCAGGGAAGAAAAAAAUGACGGUACCUGCAGAAGAAGCGACGGCUAAAUACGUG
rnacentral:rRNA from 1 species